GGAAUAUUGGUCAAUGGACGAGAGUCUGAACCAACCAAGUCGCGUGAGGGAAGACUGCCCUAUGGGUUGUAAACCUCUUUUAUAAGGGAAGAAUAAGUUCUACGUGUAGAAUGAUGCCUGUACCUUAUGAAUAAGCAUCGGCUAACUCCGUGCCAGCAGCCGCGGUAAUACGGAGGAUGCGAGCGUUAUCCGGAUUUAUUGGGUUUAAAGGGUGCGUAGGCGGUUUAUUAAGUUAGUGGUUAAAUAUUUGAGCUAAACUCAAUUGUGCCAUUAAUACUGGUAAACUGGAGUACAGACGAGGUAGGCGGAAUAAGUUAAGUAGCGGUGAAAUGCAUAGAUAUAACUUAGAACUCCGAUAGCGAAGGCAGCUUACCAGACUGUAACUGACGCUGAUGCACGAGAGCGUGGGUAGCGAACAGGAUUAGAUACCCUGGUAGUCCACGCCGUAAACGAUGCUCACUGGUUCUGUGCGAUAUAUUGUACGGGAUUAAGCGAAAGUAUUAAGUGAGCCACCUGGGGAGUACGUCGGCAACGAUGAAACUCAAAGGAAUUGACGGGGGCCCGCACAAGCGGAGGAACAUGUGGUUUAAUUCGAUGAUACGCGAGGAACCUUACCUGGGUUUAAAUGGGAAAUGUCGUAUUUGGAAACAGAUAUUCUCUUCGGAGCGUUUUUCAAGGUGCUGCAUGGUUGUCGUCAGCUCGUGCCGUGAGGUGUCGGGUUAAGUCCCAUAACGAGCGCAACCCUUACCGUUAGUUGCUAGCAUGUAAUGAUGAGCACUCUAACGGGACUGCCACCGUAAGGUGAGAGGAAGGCGGGGAUGACGUCAAAUCAGCACGGCCCUUACACCCAGGGCUACACACGUGUUACAAUGGCCGGUACAGAGGGCCGCUACCAGGUGACUGGAUGCCAAUCUCAAAAGCCGGUCGUAGUUCGGAUUGGAGUCUGUAACCCGACUCCAUGAAGUUGGAUUCGCUAGUAAUCGCGCAUCAGCCAUGGCGCGGUGAAUACGUUCCCG
rnacentral:rRNA from 1 species